rnacentral:lncRNA from 1 species
UCAUCUAGGAAAGCCAUUAGGUAAUAAAUUAAUGGCAUCGGUCUUUGAUAAUUACAACCAGGGGCAGACCUAAUUCAGACUUCUUAUCUGAGAAAUAUGUGAUAAAUCAGCCUGCUUUCACGUUCAAGUUUAAUUAAAGACCUAACCAUUACUUGUAGGCCAUGCUAAACAAUUUGAUGCUUUGAGUAAGGAGGCCUAUAUGAGCCUUUAUUUACUAUGUGUUUCCCCCUUUUACUGUUGUAUGUGUUUUGUUUGUCGCACUAGACUUUUGUCCUUUUUAAACUCUGAAAAGCCAAUCUCCCUUCCCUUUUAGGACUAGUAGUCCCAACUGGCUCUUGGACUGAUAGGAUUGGGGCAGGUAAUAGCAUGCAAUAAGAAAUGAGGCCAAUCCGCGAUUUAAUACCUUAACAGGGUGGGUAAAGGGUAGACGUUGAUAUGAUGACCACGCGAUAACACCACGUGUAUAAAUGGUUACCAGGUGUUGUGUGGGGUAAUCCAUGUUAUUUAUAAACUUAGGACCCCCC